rnacentral:rRNA from 1 species
UUACCUUCGGGUAAUGAGGAUGGCGGACGGGUGAGUAACGCGUAAGGAACUUGCCUCUUGGACUGGGACAACUGUUGGAAACGACAGCUAAUACCGGAUAUUAUGAGAUUCUCGCAUGAGAAACUUAUGAAAGCUAUAUGCGCCAAGAGAGAGCCUUGCGUUCCAUUAGCUAGUUGGUGGGGUAACGGCCCACCAAGGCGACGAUGGAUAGCCGGCCUGAGAGGGUGAACGGCCACAAGGGGACUGAGACACGGCCCUUACUCCUACGGGAGGCAGCAGUGGGGAAUAUUGGACAAUGGGCCACAAGCCUGAUCCAGCAAUUCUGUGUGCACGAUGAAGGUCUUCGGAUUGUAAAGUGCUUUCAGUUGGGAAGAAGAAAGUGACGGUACCAACAGAAGAAGCGACGGCUAAAUACGUGCCAGCAGCCGCGGUAAUACGUAUGUCGCAAGCGUUAUCCGGAUUUAUUGGGCGUAAAGCGCGUCUAGGCGGAAAAAUAAGUCUGAUGUUAAAAUGCGGGGCUCAACUCCGUAUUGCGUUGGAAACUG